rnacentral:lncRNA from 1 species
UCAACCCAUAUGAUUUAGCAAUUAAUAACUGCAUGCCAUGGACUAAGAUUUAGAAAUUCCUAUAUAUUUAACUAAAAUCCUUCCCUCUUAACCAUGUUUGCCAGUGGCUUUUAAUGGUAACAACCUCAGGCUUUUCAUAUCUUUAAGCCAAAUUUUCACAUUUCGGCUAUGAAUUUUGGUGGUUCUUCCUCUUGAUUUAGUUUAUUUGCAGGUGCACGGCUGAUGGAUGCAAUCAGAAAUUCGGGACAAAAUCAAACCUGAAGAAACACAUCCAACGCAAGCAUGAAAAUCAGCAGAAGCAAUAUGUGUGCGACUUUGAAGGCUGUAACAAGUCUUUCAAGAAACAUCAGCAACUUAAAGUUCACCAGUGUCACCACACCAAUGAACCUCCCUUCAAUAUUUAUUACAGGUUCACAGGAAAAACAAACUAGUCUUGAAUUCACACAGUCUGAAACACAAACAUAAAAUAUUGCACGGUAAUGAAAAAUGCAGUUACCUCUGUUUUCCAGUGAAAAGUAGGAACUUGGCUAACGCUGAACUGAGCAGUGGCUUAAAAAAAGGUGAGAGCCUUGAACACCAGUCUGAGACACUGCAUUGCAACUUCUGUUAUUUACAUCACACGUUGGUACAGAUCUGCUAAAAGAAUCUUGUGUUUCUUACAAGUGGGACACACUUCACAGGAGUGUUCCACUUAAGUGCAGUAGUAUGGCUGGGUCACCAGUACAAUAUGCUGUUGGUGCUCUGCUACUGCCCUGACUGCUAGAUUUGUACAAAUCUCUUAAACCUUCCACUUUGUAUCUCUAUGUUUGGAGAGCUGGAGUAUGGAGGAUAUGAAGCUUGAUUCUUUAGCUAAAGCUUAAUUUGCUGUAUACAUGGGAAACAUUAUGUAAUUUAUUUUCACAAGGGGGGAAAUGGAACAAAUCUCUGGGCAAGGGGAAACUUGGGUUAUUUU